rnacentral:lncRNA from 1 species
GAUUUGGGUUGUGAAUGUGGUGGUGAAGAUGUCAGCGUACGACAGCGUUGUGGGUGGGAAAUUGAAGCUGAAGGGAAAAGCAUUGGAUGUAAAAGCUUGUGGGAUUAAAAAGAUGAUGAAACGAGACAAGAGAUACCAUAAUUUCUCCCAAACUAUUUCAGGUGAGCUUAAUGUUCUUUCCCUUCUAUUGCGCAUUAGCUAAGAGUGGCUUUCUUUUGGGCUUGAUAAACUCUGCGAUUAUCAUUAUUGGGCAAAAGAAAUUAUUUUGUUUUACCUCCAAAGGAAGUGUGUUAAUCUACAACACUUGUGUCUGUUUCAAGAGUCUUAAAUUAUUUAUAGAUGUAGAGGAGUUGUAUAAGUUGUUAGAAAACAUUCAGGAAACAAUUAGAGUUACAGGGGAGCUGAGAGAUGCAUGAUGUGUGAGAAGCAUCGUUGCAGUGUGGCUUCAAAAUAUUUACUUUUGCAAGUCACUUGAUAUUGCCAUCUUAUUUGAUCAAAAGUUGAUCUCAAAGGGCAAAGAAACAUUGAAAUAUGGUCAAAAUUUGAAUCUGUGUCUAACACUUUUCCUUUAGGUUUAUAUUGGUUAUGUUUCAAUCUUUUUGCUUAGUUGAUAAAAAUCUGUGUGCAUAUAUAUUUUUUUGGGCUUCUUUGUGUGUGUGAAGUUUAGAAAUUCUGUGACUCCUGAUUUAGCAGUUGGGUUUAGAAUUGGGUGUUCUUUUACCUCUGCGGCUGUACUGUAUCAUUUGACAAAUUGUAAUCGAGUUAGUACCCAAUUCAAUAAUGAUUCCACUAAUUACUGUAAUGAUUAAACUGUAAAGAAAUUCCUUAAUCAUUCAUUUGUCUUUCAGCUUUCAGUCUCUUUUAAAAGACAAAAUAUUGUUAUGAACAACUAUUCAGUAUUCACUGUUGGUCUAUGCUCUCCUUAAAAUAAGUGGUCUCAUUGUAUCAGUUUCAAUCUUUCUGCUAGUUCCUUAGUGCAUGCAACAUGUUACAUGUCUUAAUAUAUGCGAUCUAUUUGAUCAUGUUCUGAUUGUUGUGCCUCUUACAUUAAGUUUUGAAUUAAGGAAUGCCUGAUUCCUGCCAAGCUUGUUUGGAUUUCUUUAAAUUGUCAUGCAGCAAUUUUUUCCAUGUAUGUGAAUUGAUUUAUGAUGAUAGAUGGAGCAAAUAGUAUUUGGAAAGAGAAGGAUUGAGCUGAUUUCAUGGUGAUACUGAAUUCGUCUAUGCAUGUUUAAGUAUUUGCUCUCUUUUAUAAUUUAUGUUGUUAAUGGUACAUAUAUUUAUAUUUAAUUUUUCAUUCA